UUGAAUACCAAGUUUAGAAUCUGUAAUCCUGAAAUCCUGCUCCAACCCAGGAGUUGAGCCUACCUGAAUAGGAGUGUUGGGUGCCAACGCUAGACUGCUCUGAAGUACCACCGAUUGCACAAAUCCCUUCCUUCUUAUUGAUUGCUUUUCUAAAGGUCUUGGCAACAUCUGUGCUUUUUAGGCCAUGGAAAAUCUGCAAAAAUAUAAUGUAUCUUUAGAAACUCAAGCAGUGAUCAAGAAAAUCACAAAGGAAAGAAUAUGUAAUGUCGAAGCAAGGAGGUAACAGAUCUGGUUUAGAACUAUCUUUCCAAAAUGAAGAACAACUGACCAUCUUUGAGUAACAGGCUCCUUGUACUUGCAAGUGGGG
rnacentral:lncRNA from 1 species